rnacentral:rRNA from 1 species
UACGAAGGGGGCUAGCGUUGUUCGGAAUUACUGGGCGUAAAGCGCGUGUAGGCGGGUCUUUAAGUCAGGGGUGAAAUGCCAAGGCUCAACCUUGGAACUGCCUUUGAUACUGGAGACCUUGAGUCCGGGAGAGGUGAGUGGAAUUGGUCGAGUGUAGAGGUGAAAUUCGUAGAUAUUCGCAAGAACACCAGUGGCGAAGGCGGCUCACUGGCCCGA